rnacentral:rRNA from 1 species
UACGAGGGGAGCAAGCGUUGUUCGGAUUUACUGGGCGUAAAGGGCGCCUAGGCGGCGCAACAAGUCACUUGUGAAAUCUCCGGGCUUAACCCGGAACGGUCAAGUGAAACUGUCGUGCUAGAGUACAGAAGGGGCAACUGGAAUUCUCGGUGUAGCGGUGAAAUGCGUAGAUAUCGAGAGGAACACCUGCGGCGAAGGCGGGUUGCUGGGCUGAUACUGACGCUGAGGCGCGAAAGCCAGGGGAGCGAACGGG